rnacentral:sRNA from 1 species
AUCACCCGAGAUUUACGUUUGGACCUACACACUUCUUUUCCCCAACGGUUCAUUUUAAAAAUGAUUAACAUCGUAAUUGUUAUGAAUAAAGGUGGAUGCCCAUUAUAAGGCCUAUCAUCUAAGCCCAUUAUUUAGAUGUUUCUAGGGUUUUACCCCUUUCCUUGUACUUCUAUAUAAAGAACCCUUUAUCUCAAUGGAAUAACACACUCAUUUCUUCUAUCUCUUUCUCUGUUUAUAACACGUUAUCAGCACGCUCUAAAAGGUAGAUAUAGAGAUUCUUACAUUUUUUUUAAGAACCAUGUUUACUUAUCGACUCAUGGUUCAUAGUACUUAUUUUCUAUUAUUGAAACAAAACAAUAUGAGCCGAUCGAUGAUUAUAGUAUAGAUCGGUAAAAGCAGGUUUUCAAUGAUUCAAUAAAGAAGAGAAUCAUGCUUAUCAUUUGUUUCUAUAAUUACUAUCGCAUGAUUCAAUGAUUCUACAAAGAAAAUCGUUAAAGAAGAGAAUCAUGCUUGUUAAUUGUUAAUUUUUGUGAUGUACUAUUACAAUAUUGAAUAUAUAAAUUACCAAUUUUAUAAUUAUAUAACUAAUUUUGUAACUAUUCAUAGUCCGGUGGUGGGUGAUGCAAGCAUGUAUUAAUGUUUUAGCAUUCUAGUUUUGAAUAGUUGCAUCUAUAUUCAAUAUCAUUUUAUAAAUAUUAUAUUGUCUAAAAUUCAUUUAUGAUUGAUAUGAUAUCUCUUAUUUAACUCCUUUGAUUAAAACGUUAUACAUAUCUUAUCACUUUUAGAUAUUGACUUUUCUAUAUUAAAUAUUUGAUUUCCAUAUAUUUGAUUGUGUUAUUAUUAUUUUUACUAAAAACGUUGCAAGAUAAUUUUUUU